rnacentral:lncRNA from 1 species
GGCAUGUGAAUCUCCUAUACCCUUUGAAGAACUGCAUGACAAAGUUGCAGACUUUUUGAUACCACUCUUCAGUGAGAUAAAGGUAUUCUUCUAACACCACAGUCCUUCAACCGAGGAUCCAAUUCCUUUGAUCAAUCUCGUUCUCAGGAGACUCAACGCAGGAGGAAUAACAACAAUUAUUCCAACUACAACAAUAAUGCUCCAUGCAUUAUCUAUCAGCUGUGUGAUACCUUUGGUCAUUCGGCUAAGCAAUGCCGCCAAUGGAGAGGCUUUUCUCUUAUCUUCUCUCGUCCUCCUACACCAUAUCAUUCAUGCAAUCAACUAGCUGCU